UGCGCAGGCGGCGUUCCGCGUGGCGAGAUGAAAUCUCCUGGCUUACCUGGGAGGAUGGUCGCCAGACGGGAGCGCUUGAGGGUCGGAGAGGGGCGUGGAAUUCCGGGUGGAGCGGUGAAAUGCGUAGGGAUCCGGAGGAACACCGACGGCGUAGGCAGCGCCCUGGACGACACCUGACGCUGAGGCACGAAAGCUGGGGGAGCGAACA
rnacentral:rRNA from 1 species